CGGGUGUGUAAGUGUAGCGAUACAUUGAGCUAACCGAUACUAAUGAACCGUGAGGCUUAACCUUACAACGCCGAAG
rnacentral:rRNA from 3 species